UCCGAGCGUCCUUUGCAUCGGUUUUUGCCAUCUCCGCUGGCUCUUCGCCAUUUCCAGUCCCUCGAUUCUCUUUAAGGGGUUCCCCCGCCAGGACCUCCGCCCUGGAGGCCAAUCUCAAGAGGAUGCCAUGGUCUUGGAAGGGUGCAAGGAGGAGAACAGCAGUCUGCGAGUUCUCCGGUCGUGCCGCCGUGGGUUCCCGUCGCUUUGAAGGGAGCUCGAGGGAGAAUCCCUUCAACAACAGGGGUUUAAUAACGGGGACAACCGGUGAAGGC
rnacentral:lncRNA from 1 species